rnacentral:lncRNA from 1 species
AUGGCCGAGGCAGAGCCGCCCGCCCGAAGCGCAGCGCCGAGGCAGGGGGAGCACAAAGCUCGUCGGGGCGCCGGCCUCGGCGGGGACCCUCGGCCCCAGCCGCCGCCGAGAGCGGGGGCAGAGGCCCGCGGGGGCGCCGAGGGGGUGCGGCGGGGAGCGGCGCCGGGGCAGCCGGCUCGCAGGGCGGCGGGGAAGGGAGGAGGGGGCCGCGCCGCGGGGCGGAGGAGGAGGAGGAGGAGGGGAGGGGAAGGCGGCGGCGGCGGCGGGGCGGGGAGGGGAGUGCGCAGGCGCGGCAGCACUGCGCAGGCGCGGCGGCGGCGGGGCGGCACGGCAGCCCGCGCUGCCAUAAAAAGGCCGGGCGCGGCUGGGCGGUGUAUCCUGCCCGCCCGCAGCCACAGCGGCAGCAGCAGCGGCACAGCAGCGGACGGGCGAUGGGGACGGCGCUGGCGGCGCGGCUCGGCCUGGGGCUCCUGCUCCUGGCGCUCCUCCUACCCACGCAGGGUGUUAUGCCUUUUCCAUUGCAUUCAAGGGAGCCUUGCCAGUGGCCGUGAUGAGAGCAGGAUCAGGCCCUAUGACUGUGCCAAUAUUUGCAAUAAGCACGCUAAGACAACCUAUCUGGAGUAUCCUCUACAAUGGAACUUGUCUUUAAGUCUUGCCUCUUCUAAAAAACAAACAAGCCUCCCGGAGUCUAGGAUUUACUGUGACCCCAAUGGAACAAGUCCAACACCUUCAAACAAUUCUUCAGCAAGUUCACCUUCUCUAGACUCUGGCAGGGAAACAGCUACCACUCCCCACCCAGUUUCCUGA